CCAAAGAUUUGUCUAUGCAAACAUACAUCAAAAUAACCCAAAAUACAUCAAAAUGAUUAGUAAUUGCAGUAUGCCUUUACAAACAUUUAUCAAAAUAAACAAAAACAAAGACCUCCUAGAUCAACAUUUAUACACAUCAUUAACACUUUAAACUCUUAUGGAACCCACUUGCCCUUGGAUUUGCUUUGCACCUUUUUCUUUGACAAUUGUUGAAGUUGAUUUCUAGUCAUUGCAUCUUUUCCUUUCCAUUUCAAACCAGGUGGCUUGAAUCCAAGAUCAACAUUUGUUUGUGAUGCAUCUUUAAAUGCUAUCCCUGUUCCACUUGAGAUAACCCUUUCACUUGAUCUUCCUGGCUAC
rnacentral:lncRNA from 1 species